rnacentral:rRNA from 1 species
UACGUAGGGUGCAAGCGUUGUCCGGAAUUAUUGGGCGUAAAGAGCUCGUAGGCGGUCUGUCGCGUCUGCUGUGAAAACUCGGGGCUUAACCCCGGGCCUGCAGUGGGUACGGGCAGACUAGAGUGCGGUAGGGGAGACUGGAAUUCCUGGUGUAGCGGUGAAAUGCGCAGAUAUCAGGAGGAACACCAAUAGCGAAGGCAGCUCGCUGGGACGGUACUGACGCUAAGGCGCGAAAGCGUGGGGAGCGAACAGG